rnacentral:rRNA from 1 species
GAUGAACGCUGGCGGCGUGCCUAAUACAUGCAAGUCGAGCGGACGGACGAGAAGCUUGCUGCUCUGAUGUUAGCGGCGCACGUGUGUGUAACACGUGUAUACCCUACCUAUAAUACGGGUAUAACUUCGGGAAACCGGCGCUAAUACCGUAUGAUAUUUUGAACCGCAUGGUUCAAAAGUGAAAGACGGUCGUGCUGUCACUUAUAGAUGGAUCCCGGCUGCAUUAGCUAGUUGGUAAGGUAACGGCUUACCAAGGCAACGAGGCAUAGCCGAACGGAGAGGGUGAUCGGCGACCCUGGAACUGAGACACGGUCAAGACUCCUAAGGGAGGCAGCAGUAGGGUACCUUCCGCAAUGGGCGAGAGCAUGACACAGUAACCGGGAGUGAGUGACGACGGUGCUGGGAUCGUAAAAAUCUGCUAUUAGGGAAGAACAGCUGUGUAAGUAAACGUACACUUAUUGACGGUAACUAAUAAGAAAGCAACGGCUAACUACGUG